rnacentral:lncRNA from 1 species
GUUCUUUACAAAUUGGAUUAAGGAGGGAUGGAACUUGAUUUCUCUGACAUCAGCGGGUUCUUUCUCCCUGUGCAGUGACUCCCAAAGAUUACCAGCCCCCAGGCUUUAAGGAGGAUGGCAGCCCCGGUGACCUCUUUUUUGAUGGCGAACCUGUCAACCUGAGAGUAGGGUCAGUCUCCACUGGCUUCCACCUCAUGAAAGUGAGAGUGACAACUGAAAAGAAAAGAAUGGGGACAGUUGGAAGCAACCUGAUCCAGAAGAAUGGACCUACUGAGAUCUCCCAUCAAGGGUUAGACUGUGAUGAAGAGGAAGAGGAGGGGAACACAAAGAAUCACCCUCUACCUGUCAGAGCAGAUUCAAGUGAGCAUGGAGAGGGGAAAAGUGACACCCAUCCAGGCUGGAAAACAGAAGCAUCUUCUUUUUACCUUCAAGAUACAGGUGGAGAGAAGAUGACAGGGAUAAAGGAGACAGGCAGGAUGUCUUGCUCAAGGGCAUCUCAAAAGAUAAGCUGCCUGAACCUUGCGUUUAGCCAGGAAGAGGUAAUAGGACCCAAGAAGAAAAGGAAGGUCAGUGAACCAGAGAAGCUGCUUCUGGAAGGCAGGAAAUGAUGUUCAUUCUGACACACAAUACAUUUUGGAAGGUGUGACUUUGCAUUGUCAUCUGACUAGUAAAGACCUUUUACUGUCUUCCAAUAUUUAACCCUUCCCCAUACUGCCUGUAUUUCUGCAUGUUUAUGUGUCUAGUGCAAACUUUGGAUUGCGAAGAGUCAGCAAGGGCCAUAAUUGUCAUGACAAUGUCGACCAACAGCACUUGUUUGAUGUUCUAAAGUUGAGGAUUUGUGAUUCCACAUGUAUGGUGUCUGUGUGCUUCUCUCCGUCUCUCUCACCCCCCUCCACCCGCACUCCCUGGCUAAAGUUCCUUCUCUGUGGCUGGACUGUCCUGCGCCAAUAUGCCAUCAAUAUCUGAUGGCACUGUUUCAAGAAGAACUCUCUGAGGUACCAACGCCAGCAAGCAACAAGUCUCAUGAUUCACUAGAUUGUGCUUAACUUCAUCCUAUCUACUGUUUCCGGAGCAUAGAUUUUUUUUUUUUAGAAGGGUUUUUAUCUAUAUUCAAUACAGAGAUAAAGUAAUCUGUACACAUUUUCUGCUGGUGCUGAAUUUUUUUUUUCUGACUCUGCAAGUAGUGUUGCUAUGACUAUAUUAUCAGCUUAUUUCUAAAACAGCAACCCACCAUGUGCAAAGUGGCUUAGGCA